rnacentral:rRNA from 1 species
AUACGGAGGGGGCAAGCGUUAAUCGGAAUUACUGGGCGUAAAGGGCGCGUAGGAGGAUUGUCAAGUCAGAGGUGAAAGCCCUGGGCUCAACCUGGGAACUGCCUUUGAAACUAACGGUCUGGAGUCCGAGAGAGGAUGGCGGAAUUCCCAGUGUAGAGGUAAAAUUCGUAGAUAUUGGGAAGAACACCAGUGGCGAAGGCGGCCAUCUGGCUCGGUACUGACGCUGAGGCGCGAAAGCGUGGGGAGCAAACAGGAUUAGAUACCCCAGUAGUCC